GAACGCACCUUGCACCCUCUGGUAUUCCGGAGGGUACACCCGUUUGAGUGUCAUUGUAAUCUCACACCCAGGAUUCGGUCCAAGGGUUGUGGACUCUGGAUGCUGUCGUGCAAACACGGCUCGUCUCAAAUGCAUGAGUGUACCCUUCCUGCGUGGUGUAUUCAGUGUGAUAAGCAUCCUCACUGGUACCCAGCCCCCCGGGGUUGAGCCACACUGGUCAGGCCCUGCACUUCCAACUGUCUUUGGACAAAGCCUGACAUUUGACCUCAAAUCGGAUGGGACUACCCGCUGAACUUA
rnacentral:misc_RNA from 1 species